GUAGGUGGCAAGCGUUGUCCGGAAUUAUUGGGCGUAAAGCGCGCGCAGGCGGUUCUUUAAGUCUGAUGUGAAAGCCCACGGCUCAACCGUGGAGGGUCAUUGGAAACUGGAGAACUUGAGUACAGAAGAGGAAAGCGGAAUUCCACGUGUAGCGGUGAAAUGCGUAGAGAUGUGGAGGAACACCAGUGGCGAAGGCGGCUUUCUGGUCUGUAACUGACGCUGAGGCGCGAAAGCGUGGGGUAGCAAACAGGAUUAGAUACCCUGGUAGUCCACGCCGUAAACCGAUGAGUGCUAAGUGUUAGGGGGUUUCCGCCCCCUUAGUGCUGCAGCUAACGCAUUAAGCACUCCGCCUGGGAGUACGGCCGCAAGGCUG
rnacentral:rRNA from 1 species